CCAGGCUGGCCCUCCUGCCCCUGCCUCUCCCCUCCCUCCUUCUCUCGCUUUCUCUCUCUACAGAUGUCCCCAUUCCUUUUCCUUCUCUCUUUUCACCUUCUAAUUGACUCUCAUGUUCUCCUUUCCUUUCUCAUUCUUUUGUCUUUCACUUUCUCUCACAUUUUAUCCCAUUUAUUGCCUUUUACCUUCUCUUUCAGGUUCUCUUUCACUUUCCCUCCUUCUCCUGAACUUCACUUUCACUUUGUCCAAUUUACUUGUCACUGGAGUGCUCAGCCUGUCAUCCUCCUCCCCUCCCCAAGUCUUUCUGCACAUCCUUCGGUGGAGGUUUGGGUUCUGUAAAUGCUACACAUCGAUGAGCAUACAUUCUUUCCUUCUCUCUCUUCCCACUUCUUUUUCUUCCCCCCUCUCUGGCCCAUGCCUCCCCUCCACUUUGCCUCUCUCCCUUCUCCCUGGACACCCUUCUCUCCCCCAUCCCCUUCCUUCCAGCUGUGUGAACAUCUCAAUCGUACCAUGUCGGCAGAUCCUUGCUGGCCUGACAUUUUAUCCUAGGACACCCCUGAGAUGCUCCAGUGGGAGAAACUGGAUGUACCAAAGGGCAGGAUAGCUGGAAGCCGGAGAUGAGAAAUAUAUGAAACACUGACUGUGAGCCGGGGAAGCUGUUGGGAGCUGAGGAUGGAGACAGAAGUUGUUAGAGGAGCAGAUCUGAGUCCGAGGGUGCCACUCUGCAGCUCUGGCCUCAGAGCCUGGAGGCACUCGGAAUCUGUGGAGGAAUUCCAGAGAAGGUGGAGGAAUGUGGGAGAAAGUUCCAAAGAAGGAUGUGAAAAAGCAAGUGGGUCUAACUUGUCCAGGAUAUGGAGGGUGGGGAGUGGGGCACUCGGGAGUGGGGAAGCUGUCUUUUCUUGGCGGACAAGUCAUCCGAGGCCAUGGAAGCACAGCAUGGUGCUGAAUGGAAAGAAUGAUGCUGAACUUGGACGGAAGAGGCAUAUAGAGGCCGGAACGAUGAGUCGCAAGUUCUUGGAUGAGUAGAAUGGCGAGCAAAAUGCAAGGUUCAUUAGGAUAUUUAUAGAUAUUGCCAUUGUGUUCACGUUGACAAGGUUUGCCUUGUAUUUUCUUUGCAUGGCUAAGGCUGGAAUGAAGCUGGAAUGCUCGGAGGGUCCCACAUCCAGGUUCAGACAGGUCCUCUCAGACCCAGCCCAUUACCUGACAAUCUUAGUCACCUGUGUUGGGGGGCGGGCAGUUGGCAGGAUUCUCUCAGGAAUGACUUUCUUGUGAUUUGUCCAGAAAUUCCUUCCCUCAGCCAAACCAGAAAAACCACUGAAUCUGAGGUAUUUGGAGUGGGUGGAUGGUGUUCUGGAUCUUUUGAGGGCAAAUGGCUGUCAAAUGAAAUGAUCCCCUUAAAAGCUCAUUUUGUCCUCAAAGUGUGUGUGUGUGUGUGUGUGUGUGUGUGUAGGGGAGGAGGUCCAGUAAGGCUCUCACUUUUUCCAAAUGAACUUCCCCAACUUCAUUAGGAGCAAGUGCAAACAGAUGGGGAAGGCGGAUUUCAUAAUAGCAAUGGCCUCUUCACCACUGACCACCAUGAGAAAAAAAAAAAGCACUGCCCCCCCCUCCCCUUCUGGAAGUUGUCCCUUUAAGUGAGGUAGGAAAGUUGGAGCUGUUUUCCUCCAAGGAAUUUAAGAGAAUCAACAUGUUUUCCUUUCCUGGUUGCAUCUGUGGUUGGAUUGCUUAAAAUAUUUCACUUCUUAAAGUAACCUCAGUUUGUUACAGUGGAUUUUUUUGGUUUUGGGGUUUGUUUGUUUUUUAACCCCCUUGUUUUUGUUUUGUUUUGUUUUGAGGUAGAGAAGACAGGCUCCAGGAGAAGAAAAAAGAAAGAGAGAAAGAAAGAAACUUCUCGUUGUCAGAAUCGGAAUGCAUAUCAGUUAUGCUGGAGACAAUGAAAACAUCAAAAAGCACAUACAAGCCAUAAAAAAUUCAGGUCCUCUGAAGCAAUGUGGGACACGCUUGGUUGCGCUCCUCAUUUGCAUGUCAGUACCCACAAUGCUCUGCUGGCUCCCAGAUCUUUCUGAGCAGCCCCAGUGUCUGAGCUCUAGGGAACAAAGUGAAAGGUUCGUGUGUGCUCGUGGGUGAGACAGGUACUUUGGUAUCGGCGGGAAAGGCAAGGCGGGUGUGGGGAGAGAGGCUCCCACCGUGGUGAUUAGCAGCCAGCCCUUUAGGCUUACAGGAGCUGUAUCUUGCCUUUUGUUUUCUUUGUCUUUUUGUUUUUGUUUUUGUUUUUGCCUUCCUCUUCUUCCCUUUGCCCAACAACGCAGAGCUGGUGAAGGCACGCUGUGCAGCCUUUAGAAGCCCUGACUGAUGGGGUUGCUACACCACUUGCCUGGAAUUGGAGAUUUGGGGUCAGCCUGUGUCUUCUGAUGCUGGCCCGCAUUCCAAGACGUGUUGGCCUCUUCAGCAUUUGGGCUCCUGAGGACGGUCCCUGCUUGGUCAACGUGAAAACGUAGAGGUGUGACCCUGACCUGCUGCUGGGGACCCAAGGGGAACACGCUGACUUCACUCUUUCCUCCCAAGCACAACACUUUUCUCUGCAAACGUCGCUCCCCUGGACCCCCGCAGAGCCAUGGUCUGCACAUUCCAAAUCCCAGGGGGGCAGAUAGGAAUACAGGGCCCAAAUUAGAAGUCCUUGGAGGCAGGGACAUACAUUUGGUCCCUGACUUGGUGUCCCCAGCCUCCUGGGUGGUCUUGGGGGUGUUACUUGCUCCCUACCAUUCCUCCGUUCCUUCCCAAGCCUGUCCUGUGCUGGGAGGAUCUACAGAGCUUGGGUGGCUAUCACAUCUGCGAUUUUAACAUGGCCAGCCAUUCUGGGACAUGACAAAAUAUGUAAAAAAUAAAAGUAAAGCUCGAUCUUUGAGGCUCCUACCU
rnacentral:lncRNA from 12 species